rnacentral:rRNA from 1 species
UGGGGAAUAUUGCACAAUGGAGGGAACCCUGAUGCAGCGACGCCGCGUGAACGAAGAAGGCUUUCGAGUCGUAAAGUUCUUUUAUAUGGGAAGAUAAUGACGGUACCAUAAGAAAAAGCCCCGGCUAACUACGUGCCAGCAGCCGCGGUAAUACGUAGGGGGCUAGCGUUGUCCGGAAUCACUGGGCGUAAAGGGUUCGCAGGCGGAAAUGCAAGUCAGGUGUAAAAGGCAGUAGCUUAACUACUGUAAGCAUUUGAAACUGCAUAUCUUGAGAAGAGUAGAGGUAAGUGGAAUUUUUAGUGUAGCGGUGAAAUGCGUAGAUAUUAAAAAGAAUACCGGUGGCGAAGGCGGCUUACUGGGCUCAUUCUGACGCUGAGGAACGAAAGCGUGGGUAGCAAACAGG